rnacentral:rRNA from 1 species
CAAAGGAAUUGACGGGACCGCACAAGGCGGUGGAUGAUGUGGUUAAUUCGAUGCAACGCGAAAAACCUUACCACCUUUGACAUGUACGGAAUCCUUUAGAGAUAGAGGAGUGCUCGAAAGAGAGCCGUAACACAGGUGCUGCAUGGCUGUCGUCAGCUCGUGUCGUGAGAUGUUGGGUUAAGUCCCGCAACGAGCGCAACCCUUGUCAUUAGUUGCUACAUUCAGUUGGGCACUCUAAUGAGACUGCCGGUGACAAACCGGAGGAAGGUGGGGAUGACGUCAAGUCCUCAUGGCCCUUAUAGGUGGGGCUACACACGUCAUACAAUGGAUGGUACAAAGGGUCGCCAACCCGCGAGGGGGAGCCAAUCCCAUAAAGCCAUUCGUAGUCCGGAUCGCAGUCUGCAACUCGACUGCGUGAAGUCGGAAUCGCUAGUAAUCGCGGAUCAGCACGCCGCGGUGAAUACGUUCCCGGGCCUU